UACGUAGGGUGCAAGCGUUGUCCGGAAUUAUUGGGCGUAAAGAGCUUGUAGGCGGUUUGUCGCGUCUGCUGUGAAAUUUCGGGGCUCAACCCCCGAACUUGCAGUGGGUACGGGCAGACUAGAGUGUGGUAGGGGAGACUGGAAUUCCUGGUGUAGCGGUGAAAUGCGCAGAUAUCAGGAGGAACACCGAUGGCGAAGCAGGUCUCUGGCGCAUAACUGACGCUGAGAAGCGAAAAGCAUGGGGAGCGAACAGG
rnacentral:rRNA from 1 species